rnacentral:rRNA from 1 species
GACGAACGCUGGCGGCGUGCCUAACACAUGCAAGUCGAGCGGGGUUGAAGCGAGAGGUAACUCGAACUUCUACCUAGCGGCGGACGGGUGAGUAACGCGUGGGCAACCUGCCUCAAGGUUUGGGAUAACAGCCCGAAAGGGCUGCUAAUACCGGAUAUGCCUAUGGCCUCGCAUGGGGCUAUGAGCAAAGGGGAAACCCGCCUUGAGACUGGGCCCGCGUCCCAUCAGCUAGUUGGUGAGGUAACAGCUCACCAAGGCGACGACGGGUAGCCGGCCUGAGAGGGUGACCGGCCACACUGGGACUGAGACACGGCCCAGACUCCUACGGGGGGCAGCAGUGGGGGAUCUUGCACAAUGGGCGAAAGCCUGAUGCAGCGACGCCGCGUGAGCGAAGAAGGCCUUCGGGUUGUAAAGCUCUGUCUGGAGGGACGAACAAAAUGACGGUACCUCCGGAGGAAGCCACGGCUAACUACGUG